UACAGAGGGUGCAAGCGUUGUUCGGAAUUAUUGGGCGUAAAGGGCGCGUAGGCGGUGCGGUAAGUCUGUAGUGAAAUCUCUGGGCUCAACUCAGAGUCUGCUGCAGAAACUGCCGUGCUUGAGUGUGGGAGAGGUGAGUGGAAUUCCCAGUGUAGAGGUGAAAUUCGUAGAUAUUGGGAAGAACACCGGUGGCGAAGGCGGCUCACUGGCCCGUUACUGACGCUCAGGCGCGACAGCGUGGGGAUCAAACAGG
rnacentral:rRNA from 1 species